GCGGAUUAAAAAUGUAAUCCAAUAAUAACGCGUCUCUGGUGCCUGUGGAAGUACGUACGUAGUAUGUAGGUACAUAUAUGUACGGAGAUAGUGGCGUAGAAAUAAGGGAUGCGCAAGUCGUACGGGCUCUCCUGAAAGAUAAUUAGGCUACGUGUCAUUUUUAUUUCCUUCCGUACUCAACGGAAGAUAUACGUCCACGUUCGUCGAUCAUUUUAUUUCUAUUCAACUUCUAUCUUGCCUAAAUGUAUUUUAUCUACUUACAAUCAAUUCACGUAUGGUAGAAUUUCCUUUAGGUUGUUAAAAAAAUAAGCGUACACUGUUAUAUAAACGAAAUAUCAUUUUAUAAUUGUCAAACGUACUUAACGUGCGAAGUCUGGAUUCAAGUAGCCCAGAAAUGAUCGCACCGCGUAUAUACGGUACUGCGCGAGCAUUUCCUCGUGCCGAGAUGUGUCGAGUACGUGCCAGCACCUACGUAUAUCUGUAAUACCGGUAGGUAUGUGGGUACACCCCCAGAUGAAUCUUGAGGCAGUGAAAAUAUCACGAUGUCCGCUGCCACCGGAGCGUUGUCGGCCAAGGGGAUGAGCUGAAAUGGGUAGAUGGAGUCCAUUAGCAGACCGGUGAGGAUGUGUGCGAUUAUACACCCCUCCCCUCCUCCCUCCCCCCCGACAGUCCACUCAAUAAUGCAUCAUCCUUCUCUAUUCGAGGACCUCAAACCCCCGUCCAUGUAUGACCACUCGGGGAGACCGUUCCUUCCCGGGUACCACCUCCGCCCUACCACCCCCGCGGACCCGUUAUUCCUUUUCCACUGGUUACCUCCCUUCUACCGUGGAUUCACCUUCUGUGAACAUUACCGCGGGCUGCUUAUUACUGCCGCAGCUUUGAUUUGCGACGGGUGGCCAGGGGGUUGGUUAGCUACCACCGGACUCGGACCCGGGCUGUUUACUGCGUUUCAAAGAAAAACCGCGCUGGCUACGUACAUUCCGGAUUCGAGUUUCGGUAAUGGGCAUCGUUAUUUUAAUGCCACACAUCUAUCUCUUUCGGAUUUUGCGAAGGGCAGAGCUCGUCUUUCGUUUCAGUUAUAUUUUUUAGUAGAUAUGAAUAUUUAAUGCAGUCGGAAUUAUUCUGUAAUAUUGGUACACAGUAAACCAGCUUUAGAGUGAAAAGGAGUCGAAGCAGAUGACGUAUCAAUAGGUUUCGACACGAACGCAAGCAUCGAUGAUUUAUGAGCUAUCGACCUUACGACCUUUUAUUAUUCUCGCAAAAAGAAGAAAACACCGCGCUAAGCAGGUUUAACGCUGCAGCAUAAUCCACCUUCACAAUAAUUGAUUCUGACUACCGACUCGCUCAAUUCACGGAGCUGUGGUAUCUGGAAGAGCUCAACUGAAGUGCUCCAUCUCUUCCUGUUGGUCCGCGCAGAUUAACGGCUAAUCCGUACGGGAACGAGGAAUUGUUGAGAGAAAAGCGGAAAUGCUAAUCUCCCGAUGGGUAUCCCCGGGAUACCUACGUACCACGGAGCCUUCCAUUUCCACGUGUGCCGUUGGCCCCGUCGCGUCGCGCCGCGUCGCCUCUCGUUGGUGUCUUGGAUAUAUCGACGGACUUCGAGCACGUGUGAGCGUGCUCUUGCGCCUGUUUAAGUACGCUUGCGACGAUUGCGUGCAAGGGGCGGGGACGUAGAGACCCCAACGACGCUUCAACGCGUCGUGCAAAUCCUCUCAGAUCAUUCUCCUAUCUACCGAACGAGGACGCGACGUUUCUGCGCGAAACGUUUAUUUUGCUGCGAUGGACUUGCGAUUGAAUUAUUUUAUAUAUUCCGUGAUUUAACUGGAAUGUAGCUCCGGCCAUAUUAAACGGAAAAUCACCGCUCAAAGAGAAUUUGAAAUACCUAUAUAAAUUCUCCUUAUCAAAGCUCGAUCAACCACUGCGUAUGAGAUUACUGAUAAUUUGAAUAAAGCACCAAAAAGAAAGUUCAUAUAUGUACCUAUUUAAGAUAACAGUUUAUAAUCAUACAUCCAGUCGUGACAUUGCAAUU